rnacentral:snoRNA from 1 species
UUCCUCCUCAUGCAUACCAAAGGUUGUAUUCUUACCCUGACUGUAUAGAAAGAGGAGGGAAAGGAAACCUACCCUGUGUGUACCUCAGCCUAAAAAAGAUAGGGGGAAAAGA